ACCAAAAAACAAAAAGAAUCAUUCUAAUAAACAAUAUUGGUCUUUUAUUCGGGUCUUUCAAACUAUGUUUCUCUCUGAUUUUGCUAUGUUUUCAGCAAAAUAAUCCUUUAAAAUCAUUGGUGUGUGAUUUUACUGGAUAUGCUUAGAUUGAACAAUAGCAAAACGGAGUUGAAUGUUGUGCGAGUCAACUUGAUUGUCAGGUGAAGAAUGUUGUUUGGAUAGGCCAAGUAUGAAUUUUUCUUUUGAACAUUAUCUUUCCUUUUCCCACAAAAGAAUAAACGAAAUAUAUAUAUACAUAGUAAUACAUUGAAACGUAAAAAACCCAACAAAUUAAACGAAAAGAAAAUUGUACAAAAAACGAAAACAAAUGUAGAAUUUAUUUGACAUGUUUUUAAUAUAUGUAAAUGUAUCAAAUGUAGAUAACUAAAAUGUAACUUAUUCAACCAAAGGAAGCAAAACCCCAUUAAGGGCUGUCCUUUCUAUACCCAUUGGAACUGAUCAUUCACACUGGGAAUACUAUAGAUUUCAUUCUUGUGAUUGACACUUCUGAGAUUGUAUGUAGUUGUGGGCUGCUGCAGAGCCUGGGGAUCGGGCCCGGACCGCACCUUGAGGUCUAUCCCGGUAAAAAGGUUAAACUCCCAGCCACAACAGGCCACAGGAUGAAAAUAGUAAUUAUAAACAGAUCGCCACUCGCACAGAAUACACAAGGACAGCGCCACGACAGAUUAGAGCUUGAUACCACCACUCACACAGAAUACACAAGGACAGCGCCACUACAGACUAGAGCUUGAUCCCACCACCCACACAGAAUACACAAGGACAGCGCCACUACAGACUAGAGCUUGAUCCCACCACCCACACAGAAUACACAAGGACAGCGCCACGAUAGCCUAGAGCUUGAUAUCACCACUCACACAGAAUACACAAGUCCAUCGCCACGACAGACUAGAGCUUGAUACCACCACCCCCACAGAAUACACAAGGACAGCGCCACGAUAGCCUAGAGCUUGAUAUCACCACUCACACAGAAUACACAAGGACAGCGCCACGAUAGACCAGAGCUUGAUAUCACCACUCACACAGAAUACACAAGUACAUCGCCACGACAGACUAGAGCUUGAUACCACCACUCUCACAGAAUACACAAGGAGAGCGCCACGACAGACUAGUGUUUCAGUACAUUACAACACGUGCCCUGAAUACUUGGUAUCUACAGCAUCUGUAUCUGCACACCGAAAUGCUGCUGAAUUUGUAACUUGUGAUGGAGGAAUAUUCCAAUUCGUAUAGAGGACAUUUACUAUAAUUGUGCCAGCAA